rnacentral:rRNA from 1 species
AUUGAACGCUGGCGGCAGGCCUAACACAUGCAAGUCGAGCGGAUGAAGGGAGCUUGCUCCUGGAUUCAGCGGCGGACGGGCGAGUAAUGCCUAGGAAUCUGCCUGGUAGUGGGGGAUAACGUCCGGAAACGGGCGCUAAUACCGCAUACGUCCUGAGGUAGAACGUGGGGGAUCUUCGGACCUCACGCUAUCAGAUGAGCCUAGGUCGGAUUAGCUAGUUGGUGGGGUAAAGGCCUACCAAGGCGACGAUCCGUAACUGGUCUGAGAGGAUGAUCAGUCACACUGGAACUGAGACACGGUCCAGACUCCUACGGGAGGCAGCAGUGGGGAAUAUUGGACAAUGGGCGAAAGCCUGAUCCAGCCAUGCCGCGUGUGUGAAGAAGGUCUUCGGAUUGUAAAGCACUUUAAGUUGGGAGGAAGGGCAGUAAGUUAAUACCUUGCUGUUUUGACGUUACCAACAGAAUAAGCACCGGCUAACUUCGUG